rnacentral:rRNA from 1 species
GGGGGGGGGGGGGGGGGGGGGGGGUGCGGGGAGGGCGGGGGGAGGGGCGGGGGGCUUGCUGCUCUGGCGUGAGCGGCGGACGGGGGAGUAACACGUGGAUAACCUGCCUAUAAGACUGGGAUAACUUCGGGAAACCGGAGCUAAUACCGGAUAAUAUAUUGAGCCGCAUGGUUCAAUAGUGAAAGACGGUUUUGCUGUCCCUUAUAGAUGGAUCCGCGCCGCAUUCGCUAGUUGGUAAGGUAACGGCUUACCAAGGCAACGAUGCGUAGCCGACCUGCGAGGGUGAUCGGCCACACUGGAACUGAGACACGGUCCAGACUCCUACGGGAGGCAGCAGUAGGGAAUCUUCCGCAAUGGGCGAAAGCCUGACGGAGCAACGCCGCGUGAGUGAUGAAGGUCUUCGGAUCGUAAAACUCUGUUAUUAGGGAAGAACAAAUGUGUAAGUAACUAUGCACGUCUUGACGGUACCUAAUCAGAAAGCCACGGCUAACUACGUG